GAUGAACGCUAGCUACAGGCUUAACACAUGCAAGUCGAGGGGCAUCAGGGUGUAGCAAUACACCGCUGGCGACCGGCGCACGGGUGAGUAACACGUAUCCAACCUGCCCUUUACUCGGGGAUAGCCUUUCGAAAGAAAGAUUAAUACCCGAUGGUAUAACAUGACCUCCUGGUUUUGUUAUUAAAGAAUUUCGGUAGAGGAUGGGGAUGCGUUCCAUUAGGCAGUUGGCGGGGUAACGGCCCACCAAACCUUCGAUGGAUAGGGGUUCUGAGAGGAAGGUCCCCCACAUUGGAACCGAGACACGGUCCAAACUCCUACGGGAGGCAGCAGUGAGGAAUAUUGGUCAAUGGGCGAGAGCCUGAACCAGCCAAGUAGCGUGAAGGAUGACCGCCCUAUGGGUUGUAAACUUCUUUUAUAUGGGGAUAAAGUUUGCCACGUGUGGCAUUUUGUAUGUACCAUAUGAAUAAGGAUCGGCUAACUCCGUGCCAGCAGCCGCGGUAAUACGGAGGAUCCGAGCGUUAUCCGGAUUUAUUGGGUUUAAAGGGAGCGUAGGUGGACAUGUAAGUCAGUUGUGAAAGUUUGCGGCUCAACCGUAAAAUUGCAGUUGAUACUGCGUGUCUUGAGUACAGUAGAGGUGGGCGGAAUUCGUGGUGUAGCGGUGAAAUGCUUAGAUAUCACGAAGAACUCCGAUUGCGAAGGCAGCUCACUGGACUGCA
rnacentral:rRNA from 1 species